GAUGAAGAACGUAGUGAAAUGCGAUACGUAAUGUGAAUUGCAGAAUUCAGUGAAUCAUCGAGUCUUUGAACGCACAUUGCGCCCCCUGGUAUUCCGGGGGGCAUGCCUGUCCGAGCGUCAUUGCUGCCCUCAAGCACGGCUUGUGUGUUGGGCCUCCGCCCUCCUCCCGGGGGACGGGCCCGAAAGGCAGCGGCGGCACCGCGUCCGGUCCUCGAGCGUAUGGGGCUUCGUCACCCGCUCUUGUAGGCCCGGCCGGCGCUUGCCGACACAUCAAUCUUUUUUCCAGGUUGACCUCGGAUCAGGUAGGGAUACCCGCUGAACUUAAGCAUAUCAAUAAGCGGAGGA
rnacentral:misc_RNA from 1 species